AAGCUACUCUCAGUUCGGAUUGUAGGCUGAAACUCGCCUACAUGAAGCUGGAGUUACUAGUAAUCGCAGAUCAGAAUGCUGCGGUGAAUGCGUUCCCGGGUCUUGUACACACCGCCCGUCACACCACGGGAGUUGGAGACGCCCGAAGCCGAUUAUCUAACCUUUUGGAAGAAGUCGUCGAAGGUGGAAUCAAUAACUGGGGUGAAGUCGUAACAAGGUAGCCGUAUCGGAAGGUGCGGCUGGAUCACCUCCUUUCUAAGGAGA
rnacentral:rRNA from 1 species